GUGAAUCAUCGAAUUUUUGAACGCAAAUUGCACUCUCCGCGGAGAGUAUGCCUGUUUGAGGGCCAGCCUAUAAAAAAUCGACAUCGUUUCUGUUUCGCGGUGAGGUUCGUCGGAAAGUUUUGCAUCUUAAAUCCUUUUGGUGUUAAGCGACUUAAACAUUUCUUUUUGGUUCCAUGAACGUUUCUAAGAUUUGUUUCUUUACACGUUGAAGGUAUCGAUUUUUAUUAGACUUGACCAUCAUAUCGGAUGAC
rnacentral:misc_RNA from 1 species